ensembl:lncRNA
UUUUGUUCGCCGACCUCUGUCCAUACGAUGUAUGAAUAAAGAAAUGUUCUUUAUAUUAAAAGUUUGAUUCAUUUUGAUUAUGCAUAUUUAUUCUGGCAGAAUUUAGUAUUAUGACUUAAUUAACUUAAUUAUUUCCCGGAUUUUGCAUUAGUUACCGCAGUAACUAACACACGCGCGCGCGUGCGUGCGCGCACACACACACACACACACACACACACACACACACACACACACACACACACACACACACACACACACACACUUCUCAAACCAAAGUUACGCCCUUGGAGUCGUGUGUAAAAUAACGUGAUUGCAUAAUGGGAUCAUCGUUUGAUAGAGGAUAGUGGUCUACAGAUCAACGCUACCAAGCAUACAAUGUAGCCUUAUUUGAUAGGGUAGCACGAUUUGAUAGACGUUGCUAUCCUUCGCACUACGGUGGGGAUAUGUUACCAGGUAGCAUACAAUGGCAGGAACCCGACAGAAAGGCUGGAAGAAGUCAGGUGACGAAAAACACAAUGCAACAAAGCAUGGAGGAAGUGAGUGGAGGGGAUGAAUGGAUCAAACACAGCACCCAUGUGACCGGGCUAUUUGUUACAUUGUUUUAUUUUUUGGUCAGGUUUCAACAACACAACUAGGCCUACUUGAUUCGUUUGGCAGUUUUAAGAACUUAAGUCCAAUUUAUCCCAUGUCACAGGAUAGCUACCUUAGAGAUUGGUAGCGCAUCAAUACUAAAAAUACAGCAACAACGUGUGUGAUUCCCAAGGGCUUCCUUCGAGACAAACAGGAUACAGUUUCCCCUUUUAAAGUUUAGUUUUUAAAGAAAAAGGGAAGGGCGUUUAUCACAUUUGGUUACUUCUUCCACUAGAUCUCUAAUUUAUCAUCUUCUUCUACGAUGGGCUUCAUUGGCAUUUUCUUAGUUCUUUCUUUGACCAUAUCAACCGUUGGGGGAUUAAGAUGCUACUCGUGUGCGACCACACAGUUAAACCCCAGCGACUGCCUUGAGACCCGUGAGUGUCCCCUCUCCAUGGAUCACUGUUUCAGCAUAACAUCCGAUGUCUUUGGGCAACUCAAGGCGAAGGGGUGUCAAUCGAGUAUUAUUUGUAAUGUCGGCGGCGCAACCUUGAAUUGCUGCACUGGCGAUUUAUGUAACAAUGCGAAGAACAUCGGAUCAAGUUUCAUCCUCGUGCUGUUGUCUACCGCUGCACUGUAUUACCUCUGAUCAGUUGGUUUGUGUGCACUCUAGAAACUUGGGGCCAGAUUCACAAAGGAGUCUCAAAAUAAUAUAAUCCUGUGCAUUACCUGGAGAUUAUGCUAUAUACUAGAAUAUUCCUAUCGAAGGUUCUUCACUGCAAUUCCUCAAUAACUUCCUCAAAACUCUUAAGAAAUGUUUUUCCAGUCUUACCAAUUUUUUUUCUGUGGAUACGUUUAAAUCAAUCACUUGUCAUCUCUAUAGUGAAAAGGUCAAAUCCUAACAAGGGAUGAACUAAUUUGUAGUUAUGCAUAGCGUUUCGCAGCUUGGACCUAUGUCUUUUUCUUUAUUAUAAUAUCAAUACACAAUUGAAUCAGUGAGUUGCAGCAACACCUUAAAAUGAGAUGAAAAACUAUAGUAAAUAGAAGUAAUUACAAGUUAAGAAAAACAGUAUCAAAUACAUUAUCAUGAGCUUGUUCUGUCCAUGAACAACUGUUUGUUUGCUAUCUUGAUCACUAUUUUGUCUUGCUUAUUCUAUUCAUUCAUCUUUCUCUCGCAAAACUUUCUCUUUAUAGUGACACAUGUACAACUAGCAUACUGUGUAGAUCGAUAUGAUAUGCUUACCUGAUCGGCCUCCCAAAUAAAGC